rnacentral:rRNA from 1 species
UACGAAGGGGGCUAGCGUUGUUCGGAAUUACUGGGCGUAAAGGGCUCGUAGGCGGCCAACUAAGUCAGACGUGAAAUCCCCAGGCUCAACCUGGGAACUGCGUCUGAUACUGGAUGGCUUGAAUUCGGGAGAGGGAUGCAGAAUUCCAGGUGUAGCGGUGAAAUGCGUAGAUAUCUGGAGGAAUACCGGUGGCGAAGGCGGCAUCCUGGACCGACAUUGACGCUGAGGAGCGAAAGCUAGGGGAGCAAACGGG